UACAGAGGUCUCGAGCGUUGUUCGGAUUCAUUGGGCGUAAAGGGUGCGUAGGUGGCUAGGUAAGUCGGAUGUGAAAUCUCGGGGCUCAACCCCGAAACUGCAUUCGAUACUGCCUGGCUAGAGUACUGGAGAGGAGAUUGGAAUUUACGGUGUAGCAGUGAAAUGCGUAGAUAUCGUAAGGAAGACCAGUGGCGAAGGCGGAUCUCUGGACAGUUACUGACACUGAGGCACGAAGGCCAGGGGAGCAAACGGG
rnacentral:rRNA from 1 species